rnacentral:pre_miRNA from 1 species
UAGAUANUGUCCCAAAUUUCUUGUCUUAGAUUUGUCUAGAUAUGGAUGUAUCUAAUACUAAAAUGUGACUUGAUACAUCCGUAUCUAGACAAAUCUAAGACAAGAAUUUUGGGACAGAGGGAGUACUUU